rnacentral:rRNA from 1 species
GACGAACGCUGGCGGCGUGCUUAACACAUGCAAGUCGAACGGAAAGGCCCUGCUUUUGUGGGGUGCUCGAGUGGCGAACGGGUGAGUAACACGUGAGUAACCUGCCCUUGACUUUGGGAUAACUUCAGGAAACUGGGGCUAAUACCGGAUAGGAGCUCCUGCUGCAUGGUGGGGGUUGGAAAGUUUCGGCGGUUGGGGAUGGACUCGCGGCUUAUCAGCUUGUUGGUGGGGUAGUGGCUUACCAAGGCUUUGACGGGUAGCCGGCCUGGGAGGGUGACCGGCCACAUUGCGACUGAGAUACGGCCCAGACGCCUACGGGCGGCAGUAGUGGGGAAUAUGGCACAAUGGGCGGACGCCUGAUGCAGCAACGCCGCGUGCGGGAUGAUGGCCUUCGGGUUGUAAACCGCUUUCGCCUGUGACGAAGCGUGAGUGACGGUAAUGGGUAAAGAAGCACCGGCUAACUACGUG